CGAAAAGGAGUCUCCGUGCUCUUCAACCCUCUGUGAACAUACCAUUGUCAGUUGCUUCGGCGGGAGGCCCCUGGGAGGGGCCCCGGGGCCCGGCCGGAGCCGGGCUCCCGCCGGAGGAGCGCACACCAAAACUCUUGCUGUACCCCAGUGGCACGUCCGAGUACGAAGCAAAAACAAGUUA
rnacentral:misc_RNA from 1 species